rnacentral:lncRNA from 1 species
ACCCCAAGCCCAAUGUCAGGGAGUUUCACAGGAUUCAGAGGAAAGAAGAAAAUGUCACUGUCAUGCUUUGAAGUAUUUUCUGCAUCAAGUCUUACUGUGUAUGGGAAUUGUCUUCCCUCAAGUUCCCAGAUAGCUACUUCCUGGGAGAACAGAGGCUACAGUCUACCUUUGCAGAUCCCAGCCCUUCCCCCAGGCCAGUAAGGAUCUUACAAAUGCCUCUUGUGAACCCGACAGGGACACCUCAGAGCCCUAAUGGGAGAAGAAGGGCAAGUGUGGGCAAGGCCCCUGGCUCUCCUGCCUGCAGCCAUUUCUCAAGAAACCUGGUUCUCAGGGAGACUUCAAGAACCAGUUCCUGGUCUUUGCUUGAAAAGGAAACCAGUCAUUCAAGGGUAAGUCAUAAGUACUAAAUGAAAAGCUCUGUGACUGUACGCUAAAGACUUCAUCACAAGAGGAGAAAUCUCUUGUCUACACACUUGUGUCAGCCUAGGAGUCAGGGACAGAAGGCUUGUGGGACUGGCCAGACUUGAAAGUAACAGUCUGAAUGCAAGGCAAGGACGGAAGGAACUGAUUCCUUCACAGUCCUCAGGAACUACGUGGUGGCUAGAUUGACAGUACCAGAGAAUAGCACCUUCCCACUUGGGUAAACUG